rnacentral:rRNA from 1 species
AGACCCGAAACCCGGUGAUCUAGCCAUGGGCAGGUUGAAGGUUGGGUAACACUAACUGGAGGACCGAACCGACUAAUGUUGAAAAAUUAGCGGAUGACCUGUGGCUGGGGGUGAAAGGCCAAUCAAACCGGGAGAUAGCUGGUUCUCCCCGAAAGCUAUUUAGGUAGCGCCUCGUGAAUUCAUCUCCGGGGGUAGAGCACUGUUUCGGCUAGGGGGCCAUCCCGGCUUACCAACCCGAUGCAAACUGCGAAUACCGGAGAAUGUUAUCACGGGAGACACACGGCGGGUGCUAACGUCCGUCGUGAAGAGGGAAACAACCCAGACCGCCAGCUAAGGUCCCAAAGUCAUGGUUAAGUGGGAAACGAUGUGGGAAGGCCCAGACAGCCAGGAUGUUGGCUUAGAAGCAGCCAUCAUUUAAAGAAAGCGUAAUAGCUCACUGGUCGAGUCGGCCUGCGCGGAAGAUGUAACGGGGCUAAACCAUGCACCGAAGCUGCGGCAGCGACGCUGAUGCGUUGUUGGGUAGGGGAGCGUUCUGUAAGCCUGCGAAGGUGGCCUGUGAGGGUUGCUGGAGGUAUCAGAAGUGCGAAUGCUGACAUAAGUAACGAUAAAGCGGGUGAAAAGCCCGCUCGCCGGAAGACCAAGGGUUCCUGUCCAACGUUAAUCGGGGCAGGGUGAGUCGACCCCUAAGGCGAGGCCGAAAGGCGUAGUCGAUGGGAAACGGGUUAAUAUUCCCGUACUUGGUGUUACUGCGAAGGGGGGACGGAGAAGGCUAUGUUGGCCGGGCGACGGUUGUCCCGGUUUAAGCGUGUAGGCUGGUUUUCCAGGCAAAUCCGGAAAAUCAAGGCUGAGGCGUGACGACGAGGCACUACGGUGCUGAAGCAACAAAUGCCCUGCUUCCAGGAAAAGCCUCUAAGCAUCAGGUAACACGAAAUCGUACCCCAAACCGACACAGGUGGUCAGGUAGAGAAUACCAAGGCGCUUGAGAGAACUCGGGUGAAGGAACUAGGCAAAAUGGUGCCGUAACUUCGGGAGAAGGCACGCUGACA